rnacentral:rRNA from 1 species
CCUACGGGGGGCAGCAGUGAGGAAUAUUGGUCAAUGGUCGGGAGACUGAACCAGCCAAGCCGCGUGAGGGAGGAAGGUACAGAGUAUCGUAAACCUCUUUUGUAAGGGAACAAAGGCGGGGACGUGUCCCAGGAUGAGUGUACCUGAAGAAAAAGAAUCGGCUAACUCCGUGCCAGAAGCCGCGGUAAUACGUAGGGGGCAAGCGUUAUCCGGAUUUACUGGGUGGAAAGGGAGCGUAGACGGUUAUGUAAGACGUGAGUGAAAGCCCGGGGCCCAACCCCGGGACUGCUUUUGAAACUUUUUAACUGGAGUACAGGAGGGGCAGUCGGAAUUCCUGGUGUAGCGGUGAAAUGCGUAGAUAUCAGGAGGAACACCGGCGGCGAAGGCGGCCUGCUGGACUGAAACUGACGUUGAGGCUCGAAAGCGUGGGGAGCAAACAGGAUUAGAUACCCUGGUAGUC